UUUGAGUUCGUGGUGAUGCCU
rnacentral:siRNA from 1 species